rfam:Trichobilharzia regenti genome assembly, scaffold: TRE_scaffold0020097
GUGCUGCCAAAGAGUCCCAGACCAGGACGAAACAUCUGUCCAGUAC